UACGUAGGGGGCGAGCGUUGUCCGGAUUUAUUGGGCGUAAAGAGCGCGUAGGCGGCUAGGUAAGUCCGACGUGAAAUCUGGAGGCUCAACCUCCAGCGGUCGUUGGAAACUACUUGGCUAGAGUCCGGAAGAGGAGAGUGGAAUUCCUGGUGUAGCGGUGAAAUGCGCAGAUAUCAGGAAGAACACCGAUGGCGAAAGCAGCUCUCUGGGACGGUACUGACGCUGAGGCGCGAAAGCGUGGGGAGCGAACAGG
rnacentral:rRNA from 1 species